GGCGCGAUAGCCAAGUGGUAAGGCAGGAGUCUGCAAAACUUCUACUCGGCGGUUCGAUUCCGCCUCGCGCCUCCA
rnacentral:tRNA from 1 species